UUAGAGUUUGAUCCUGGCUCAGGAUGAACGCUAGCGGCAGGCUUAACACAUGCAAGUCGAGGGGCAGCGAGAUCAGUGCUUGCACUGAUUGUCGGCGACCGGCGCACGGGUGCGUAACGCGUAUGCAACCUACCCAUUACAGGGGGAUAACACUGAGAAAUCGGUACUAAUACCCCAUAACAUCCAGGGAGGCAUCUUCUUGGGUUGAAAACUCCGGUGGUAAUGGAUGGGCAUGCGUUGUAUUAGUUAGUUGGUGGGGUAACGGCUCACCAAGACAACGAUACAUAGGGGGACUGAGAGGUUAACCCCCCACAUUGGUACUGAGACACGGACCAAACUCCUACGGGAGGCAGCAGUGAGGAAUAUUGGUCAAUGGACGCAAGUCUGAACCAGCCAUGCCGCGUGCAGGAAGACGGCUCUAUGAGUUGUAAACUGCUUUUGUACGAGGGUAAACGCGGAUACGCGUAUCUGUCUGAAAGUAUCGUACGAAUAAGGAUCGGCUAACUCCGUGCCAGCAGCCGCGGUAAUACGGAGGAUUCAAGCGUUAUCCGGAUUUAUUGGGUUUAAAGGGUGCGUAGGCGGUCGGAUAAGUUAGAGGUGAAAUCCCGGGGCUCAACUUCGGAAUUGCCUCUGAUACUGUUCGGCUAGAGAGUAGUUGCGGUAGGCGGAAUGUAUGGUGUAGCGGUGAAAUGCUUAGAGAUCAUACAGAACACCGAUUGCGAAGGCAGCUUACCAAGCUACUUCUGACGUUGAGGCACGAAAGCGUGGGGAGCAAACAGGAUUAGAUACCCUGGUAGUCCACGCAGU
rnacentral:rRNA from 1 species